rnacentral:rRNA from 1 species
UGGCCGCGGGAUUUGACUAAGCCAUGCAAGUCGAACGAAUUUAGAUUCGUGGCGUACGGCUCAGUAACACGUGGAUAACCUACCCUUAGGACCGGGAUAACCUUGGGAAACUGAGGAUAAUACUGGAUAGGCAAUUAUUCCUGUAAUGGUUUUUUGUUUAAAUGUUUUUUCGCCUAAGGAUGGGUCUGCGGCCGAUUAGGUAGUUGGUUAGGUAAUGGCUUACCAAGCCGUUGAUCGGUACGGGUUGUGAGAGCAAGAGCCCGGAGAUGGAACCUGAGACAAGGUUCCAGGCCCUACGGGGUGCAGCAGGCGCGAAACCUCCGCAAUGUGAGAAAUCGCGACGGGGGGAUCCCAAGUGCCAUUCUUAACGGGAUGGCUUUUCAUUAGUGUAAAGAGCUUUUGGAAUAAGAGCUGGGCAAGACCGGUGCCAGCCGCCGCGGUAACACCGGCAGCUCUAGUGGUAACAAUUUUUAUUGGGCCUGAAGCGUCCGUAGCCGGUUUAAUAAGUCUCUGGUGAAAUCCUGUAGCUUAACUGUGGGAAUUGCUGGAGAUACUAUUAGACUUGAGACCGGGAGAGGUUAGAGGUACUCCCAGGGUAGAGGUGAAAUUCUGUAAUCCUGGGAGGACCGCCUGUUGCGAAGGCGUCUAACUGGAACGGUUCUGACGGUGAGGGACGAAAGUUAGGGGCGCGAACCGGAUUAGAUACCCGGGUAGUCCUAACUGUAAACGAUGCGGACUUGGUGUUGGGGUGGCUUUGAGCUGCUUCAGUGCCGAAGGGAAGCUGUUGAGUCCGCCGCCUGGGAAGUACGGUCGCAAGACUGAAACUUAAAGGAAUUGGCGGGGGAGCAAAUCACUAGUGCGGCCGCCU